CAUGGUUUAACUAGUCUAAUCAAGCAAAAAGAAAUUAAGUUUGACUCCCCGAAACUAAGUGAGCUACUUUAGGACAGCUUAAUGAGCAAACCCAUCUCUGUCGCAAAAGAGUGGGAAGAUCUUAAAGUAGAGGUGAUAUACCUAACGACCUUAGCGAUAGCUGGUUAUUUAGGAAAAGAAUCUUAGUUCAACCUAAAGCUUUUUCAAUACCUCAAAAUAAAUUACUUUAGAGUUAUUCAAAUAAGUCACAGCUUGUUUGAAACAGGAUACAGCCUCAACCUGUGGGUAAUUAACCAUAUAAGCAAAUCAAGUAGGCCUAAAAGCAGCCACCUUUAAAAAAGCGUCAAAGCUUAAUUUUUACCUAUCAUAUAAUUCAUUUAACCACUAAAAACCCCUCAACAGUACUAAAUAAUCCUAUAAUUUUAUAGGACUCUUUAUGUUAAAACUAGUAACAAGAAAAACCUUCUCUUAUAUGCAAGUGUAAAUCAGAAUAGAAACACUACUGACACUUAACAGACUUAAUCCAUAGUACUAAACUACUUAGAAAAAUCUACUGAUUUAGCUGUUAACCUAACACAAGAGCAUAAAAAGAAAGAUUACAAGAAAAAGAAGGAACUCGGCAAACUUUGAUUCCGCCUGUUU
rnacentral:rRNA from 1 species